GUACUUGCUUUAGCAGCACAUACACUACAACUGGAAUGACACAGAGAAGGUCAGCAUGGCUCCUGUGUGACAAUGACAUUCAAAUUCUUGAAGAGUUUCAUAUUUUU
ensembl:snRNA U6 U6 spliceosomal RNA